rnacentral:rRNA from 1 species
CUGCGGCGGAUGUUGCGUAAAGGGAAAGGUCGUAGUCAAACCCCACAGCCACGCGAACUCUAAGUCAGCCACGAAUAGGCUAUCCCAACUAACGGCGGGAAAGACUCCACGGAGGGUGUAAGACCCGUGUGGGCGCGUGUUAAAGCUGUGCGGGCUCGGCCUCUAUUCCCUGAGAGUCGCGUUGCUUGAGCAUGCAGCGCUAAGCAGGUCGUAAACUCGAUCUAAGGCUAAAUAUCUCCACAGAACCGAUAGCGAACAAGUACCGUGAGGGAAAGUUGAAAAGCACUCUGGAGAGAGAGUCAAAAGACCGUGAAACCGCUCAGAGUAUAAGCCCAUGGCAGCUUGGAAGGCAUAUCGAAAGCGGGGCAUCGGUCUGCCUUCGCGGGUGGUCGGUGUUACCUUGCUUCUGUUGUGGCUCGUCAAGGUAGGGGGGUCAGGUCCACAUCCCGCCGUCGUGUGGGGGGUUCUUGGGUGUGUUGUGGUUUUUCGGUUGGCUUCGGCUGGCCGGAGGGCCCUUCGUGCUCGGUUCCUCUUUUGACACGGACGUUCAGACUCAGAGGCAAGACGCGAUAAACAGCCCACCACGGCACGUUGUGAGGUCACCCACAGGCUCGACUUUCGAUCGUGAACCUUGACGCCGAGCAAGCACAAUGCGUGUCGCAAAUGUUCCUAACCAGGCAACGCUGCCAGGACCGUGGAACGACACGCGCUCAACAGUCAGGUUCGGGCGGAGACAGAGUUCUGGUAUGAUCCUCUUGCGACGAGCCGGCUUCUGGCCAACAUCCGAUGCUCAGGUCUCCCGCAUGUGCCGCGGGAGAUCGCCUUGACGGUCUGGAUCUUUCACGAGUCCUCUCAGUCGGGCAACGGA